UACGAAGGGGGGCUAGCGUUGCUCGGAAUUACUGGGCGUAAAGAGCGCGCAGGCGGUCGAUCAAGUCGCGUGUGAAAGCCCCCGGCUCAACUGGGGAGGGUCACGCGAUACUGAUCGACUCGAAGGCAGGAGAGGGUAGUGGAAUUCCCCGGUGUAGUGGUGAAAUGCGUAGAUAUCGGGAGGAACACCGGUGGCGAAGGCGGUUCUCUGGGCAUUACCUGACGCUGAGGAGCGAAAGUGUGGGGAGCGAACAGG
rnacentral:rRNA from 1 species